UACAGAGGUGGCAAGCGUUGUUCGGAAUUACUGGGCGUAAAGGGCGCGUAGGCGGACAUUUAAGUCAGACGUGAAAUCCCCCGGCUUAACCGGGGCAUUGCGUCUGAUACUGGGUGGCUCGAGUGCGGGAGAGGAAUGCGGAAUUCCAGGUGUAUCGGUGAAAUGCGUAGAUAUCUGGAGGAUCACCGGUGGCGAAGGCGGCAUUCUGGACCGACACUGACGCUGAGGCGCUAAAGCCAGGAGAGCAAACGGG
rnacentral:rRNA from 1 species